UGUUGCUAUGGGGCUGUUCUGUUGGGGUUGUUACUGGUGGAGCUUUGCUGCUGGUUGUUAAGCAGGCAGCAACAUGGGGCUGUGCUUUGUGCUGGGGGCUGCACUGCUGGCUGUGCUGUGUCCACGAGCAUUGGCACAAAUCACAACCCCGCUGCAGCUGCCCCCAAAUGAGACAGGACUGUCGGAUACCCUGUCCUACGUCCUUGCAGUGGAGGGGAAGCCAUACACCAUCCACCUCAAGAAGCAUCUCUUUAUACCUGAUGAUUUUAGGAUUUAUAUGUCAGAUGAGACAGGAUCCUCAGUGUCUGAUUCAAGCUAUAUCAAGGGCGACUGCUACUACCACGGCUCCAUCGAGGGCGUCCCUGGUUCAGCAGUGACACUCAGCAUCUGUGCAGGGCUCAGGGGUCUGCUGCAGUUCCACAAUGUCAGCUAUGGGAUCGAGCCGCUGGGCUCCUCACCCACAUUUGAGCACUUAGUGUAUCGGAUGAACAGUGAGAACGCAGCAGGGUCCCUGUUCACUCAGAACCACUCCAGAGCAGCAGGAUGGGGGCUGCAGGAGCCACCAUUGGUUGCAGUACAGUUGCCCAAGUACAUUGAGGUGCAUGUAGUUCUGGACAAGGCUCUGUACAACUAUUUGGGCUCAAAUCAACGUGCUGUGACACAGAAGAUGGUCCAGGUUUUCAAUCUGGUGAACAAGAUCUUUAAACCCCUCAAUAUGACCGUGGUGCUGUCCUCCCUGGAGCUCUGGGUGCAGCAGAACAAAAUUCCAACAGAUGGAGCAGCAGAUGAGCUUUUGCAGCAAUUCCUGCAGUGGAAGCAGUUGCACCUGGCUCUGCAGCCACACGACGUGGCCUGUCUGUUUGUGUACCGGGACCAGGCUGACUUUGCAAUUGCAACCUCUCCGAGCACGCUGUGCCGCAGUGAUGCAUCUGGAGCUGUGGCUGUGCUACAGCCCGCUGUAACACUGGAGUCGUUCUCCGUCCUCCUGGCGCAGCUGGUUGGGCGCAGUCUGGGGAUGGGAUUCGAUGACAACCGGGGCUGCCACUGCCCCACACACACCUGUGUCAUGGAGUCGGCAGCACUACACAUCAGUGGGACAAAGGCCUUCAGCAGCUGCAGCACGGCAGACCUGGAGCAUUUCCUGCGGCGUAACGCAGGGCGCUGCCUCCUGCACAGCCCCCCAUUGCGGGGGUCCUCCCCACACAGUACACCCCACUGCGGUAAUGGCGUGGUGGAGCGCGGCGAGCAGUGCGACUGCGGCAGCGCCGAGGCAUGCUCAAAGGAUACAUGCUGUGCUAGAGGAUGUGUGCUUAAGCCAGGAGCGCAGUGUUCCUCUGGGUCGUGUUGUAAAACAUGUCAGUUCAAAGCUCCCAACACUCUGUGCCGUCCUGCUGCUGACACACAGUGUGAUCUGCCCGAGUUCUGCAGCGGCUCCUCUGCCUCCUGCCCCGCUGAUGUCUACGUGCAGGACGGGCACAGCUGUGAGCACAACACUGGCUACUGCUAUCAUGGGCACUGCCAGUCUGCUGAUCUGCAGUGCCAGCAGCUCUACGGGAGAGGUUCUAGGAGCGCUUCUGUGGCAUGCUAUGAGGAACUGAACAGCCAGAGGGACAGAUUUGGGCACUGCGGGUACCACCCACGGCGCAUCUACAAGGCCUGUUCAUGGAGGAACCUUCGCUGUGGCAAACUGAUCUGCUCGUACCCGUCCAGCUACCCGCUGGAGACAGAGACUGCUGCAGUUGUUUAUGCCCGGGUGCGUGAGCAGCUGUGUGUAUCCCUGGAUUUCCUGAAUGCACCAAUAACGCAGGAUCCUCUGCUGGUCCCACCAGGCACAAAAUGCGGCUCCGGGAUGCUGUGCAUAAACAGCACGUGCUUCCCCCGCUCCGUGCUGGGCUCCGACUGCAGCAGUGAAACCCAUUGCCACGGACACGGAGUUUGCAAUAACCGCCAACACUGCCACUGCAACCCGGGAUGGAGCCCGCCCGACUGCCUGCAGCGCGGAUCGCGCCUCGGGGGCAGCAUAGACAGCGGCGUGCAGGUCCCGCAGCGCAUGUCCCCCCAGCGUCGGACGGAGCGGAACGCGGCACAGAAUAUUGCGCUGUUGGCCUCCUGCGUGCUGCUGCCCGCCGUGCCUUUGGUUGUGCUGCUGCUGCUGCUGCGCCGGGAGCUGCGGAUCCGUCGGCUCCGGAGAGGAAAGCGCAUCGCCGAGGAGCGCAGCGAGAAAGCGGAGGAGGAGCAGCAGGAGGAGGAUGAAGCCGAGGGGAAGGCGGCGGAGCGCGGAGGGAGCGAAUAAAGCGUUGGGAGCACCGCGAGGCAGCGCCUCUGUGCUGGGGAUGAGGAGGGGAGGGGGCACGGAGGGGCCGUUACGGUGGGACCGUUAUCGGGGGGCUCGCAGUAUGGGGCUGCUGCUGGCGCUGCUCCUGGAGAUGCUGGUUACGCUGCAUUCACAAGUGCCUCUGCACAUCACGAUUCCCCAGAAGGUACCUUCAAA